AGAGAGAGAGAGAGAGAGAGAGAGAGAGAGAGAGAGAGAGAGCGUUUCAGAAUAAUGACACCUCAAUACUUUUUCUUUCUUGUCUUUUUUUUCUAUAUAUAUUUUUUUGAUGAUGUAAAAAAUAGACUCAUUAUCUUAAAGGCGGGUGCAAUCUGUUGAUUUACUGACUUUCACUGACGCUGAGUUGCUGUUGUCACUUACGAGUCUUCAAGUUGAGUGAUUAUUGAUGAAGGACUGAUUAAAGUAGCAUGUCGCGUCUGAGUGAAUGUAAACUUGUCUACUUCAUGCUAUACUUAGUCCACACGUCCUUCACUGGUGCGUAUCUUGUUGUUGUCCAGUAUUCAGUAUCUUAGUGUCUAACUUGUAAUCCCUUCAAUACUGGGACACCUUUUUCAUAUUCAUUCUGCUUAGAAUUUGGUGAUUUUAUGCAGCUUCAGACACUUCUGUGGAGAUUAAAAUAGUGAAAACUGUGGCCAUUAAUCUUCUGACCUCUAUAGACCCUUCCUGAUAUAUAUUAAGUCAUCUAAUCACUCCAAAAACUCAAGGUAAAAAAUGUGUCCCAGUAAUGAAGGGGUUAAAAUCCUUCUUGACUCGGUGGUUGAAGUGUUUGCUUGUUGAGUGUCUGUCUGUGUGUGUGUCAACAGCAGGCUUUCUCCUUGUUCCAUCGACUCAUUGUACCAUCGACUCAUUGUAUAUUAUUCAUCCUUCACCUCUGCAUUUUAUCCCUUUUAUUCAGUGUUGCUCAUGUCAACGUUAACAAUUCAGAUCGUACGCGGUAAAUUGAUGAACUUGUGUAAAGCAGUUUUGAUUAUGAGCAACGAGACAGAAUGAAGCUUCGUCACGGUGAACCACAAGGCACAGUCAGAGGCGGGCCGUAUAGUUACACCCAAACAGCAAAGGCGGAAGAUGCGUUGUCCCUGCACAGCCACGUCUUCAUCCACCUGCCCCGCUUCCGACCUUCCUGAGCCUCCAGCAGUGACGUGACUUGGAAUGCGCAAAGGAACACUGGCAACACAUGAGCACAUGAAGCUCAAGCAAAUGCAGAGGCAGUAUGGGUCCCACACUGGCAUUGGCACUACAGCACAGCCGCCAAACAGCCACUCACUGGGCCACGCCUGGCUGCAGCAGGCGUGGGAGUCAGUCUGCCGGGCCUCGUGCUCAAGGAACAAGUAACGUCAUACAGCUUCAUAUCACUGAGAUGGGGACUGCUCUGGGAAUAUAACUUGAACAAUGGCUGGAAUGGGAUAUAUAAAAUGUAGAAAUAAUGCAGAGGUGGAA